AUUGAACGCUGGCGGCAGGCCUAACACAUGCAAGUCGAGCGGAUGAAGGGAGCUUGCUCCUGGAUUCAGCGGCGGACGGGUGAGUAAUGCCUAGGAAUCUGCCUGGUAUUGGGGGAUAACGUCCGGAAACGGGCGCUAAUACCGCAUACGUCCUUAGGGAGAAAGUGGGGGAUCUUCGGACCUCACGCUAUCAGAUGAGCCUAGGUCGGAUUAGCUAGUUGGUGGGGUAAAGGCCUACCAAGGCGACGAUCCGUAACUGGUCUGAGAGGAUGAUCAGUCACACUGGAACUGAGACACGGUCCAGACUCCUACGGGAGGCAGCAGUGGGGAAUAUUGGACAAUGGGCGAAAGCCUGAUCCAGCCAUGCCGCGUGUGUGAAGAAGGUCUUCGGAUUGUAAAGCACUUUAAGUUGGGAGGAAGGGCAGUAAGUUAAUACCUUGCUGUUUUGACGUUACCAAAAGAAUAAGCACCGGCUAACUUCGUG
rnacentral:rRNA from 1 species